rnacentral:rRNA from 1 species
AUACGUAGGGGGCGAGCGUUGUCCGGAUUUAUUGGGCGUAAAGCGUGUGUAGGCGGUUUAUUAAGUCUGAGAUGAAAGGCUAUGGCUUAACCAUAGUUUGUUUCAGAAACUGGUAGACUAGAGUGCAGUAGAGGCAAUUGGAAUUCAUAGUGUAGCGGUGGAAUGCGUAGAUAUUAUGAGGAACAUCAGUGGCGAAGGCGAAUUGCUGGGCUGUUACUGACGCUGAGACACGAAAGCGUGGGGAGC